AAAUGUGUAAAGUGAAAAUAAAGACCACCUUCAUGAAUGAUCAUGGGAUACACCUAGAAAGUUUUCCUCCAAGUACAAGUCUGG